CCUCUGGCUGCAUCCUCUGACUUCAGAGCCAGUGAUGCAGGGUUGUGAUUAAGAGUUUAGGCUGGAGUCCUGCUGCCAUGUUAACCUAAGAACAGAGCUCUGAAGUAAAGAAGCAGGUUCCCAUUUCAGUAGACACUUCCAGUGCGCUGUUGGAACACACCAGUUGUAUCUUCAUCCUCCAUUUCCAACUGUGCAGGCUUGACUCCUCUCUGGGCCUCCAACUUCAUGAAACCACAUGGUCUUCGCGGAUUAGGGGUUCGUUGCACUAACGGAAAAGACGCUCCGCCUCCCCUCUCGGGAACCUGAGGCCAUUAAAGUAGGAAAUGCUCCGCGGGAAUUCCCCAACCCCCAGGCCCAGGACGGCGGCCCACGGGCAUCCAGGAUCCUGCCCAUCAGCAGCCCAUUGAUUCGCCCAGAAGCCUCGCCCCGCCGCCGCGGCCCCCACCCCUAAGAGGUGAAGCCCCGAUCCCAGGGGACUCCCCGUCGCCUCGGAGACUGCAAUACCCGAUGCGAGGUCCGCGGAGGGCGGAGACCCCGCGCGUCGUAACGCCUCUCCUCACCACAACGGCUGGCGGGGCCAAGAAGCCCGGCUCGGAGCUGGUGGGCCCACGGCGUCCGUCAUCUGCCCGCCCAACUCGCACCCCACGCGCACUCGGAGGCCGCCGGGGGCUAAUCUACUUUUUGUCUGAAUAGAUUUGCUCAUUCUGGACAUUUCAUACAUAUGGCUUCUUUCACUCAGCACCUUUUCAAGAUGUAUCCAUGGUGUAGCAUUUAUUAGGAUUUCAUGUAUUUUCAUUGCCAAAUAAUGCUUUAUUGAGUGCAAACACCCUCUGCCUGCUUUUGAUUUGUGUGACUACAUUUUCAAGUGUUCACUUGUCUGCCUUUUACAAAUUAGAGAGACAGGCAUAUACAACUUCUUUUAAAAAACGAGACAAGAAAAAAACUUAAUCAACGGUAGUUCUGACCCUAUCAGUGAUGCUUAGAAACCAUUAUUUUAAACAAAUGAAGAUAAGUCAUUCACACUUUGUAGGGAUCAUAAUCCAGAGAAAAACAUAAGGAGGCUAUUUAGAAAGACCAUUAAAUAUUGGAAGGUUUGACUUUCCUAGUAAAGCACUGAGAAGCCGAAGUCCCUAACCCCCACCUAAGCGUAUGUUUCCAUUCAGCGUCCACUAACCUGAGAUUGAUAAAAUCAAGAAUACAAUACUAUAU